rnacentral:rRNA from 1 species
GACGAACGUUGGCGGCGUGCUUAACACAUGCAAGUCGAACGGAAAGGCCCUGCUUUUGUGGGGUGCUCGAGUGGCGAACGGGUGAGUAACACGUGAGUAACCUGCCCUUGACUUUGGGAUAACUUCAGGAAACUGGGGCUAAUACCGGAUAGGAGCUCCUGCUGCAUGGUGGGGGUUGGAAAGUUUCGGCGGUUGGGGAUGGACUCGCGGCUUAUCAGCUUGUUGGUGGGGUAGUGGCUUACCAAGGCUUUGACGGGUAGCCGGCCUGAGAGGGUGACCGGCCACAUUGGGACUGAGAUACGGCCCAGACUCCUACGGGAGGCAGCAGUGGGGAAUAUUGCACAAUGGGCGGAAGCCUGAUGCAGCAACGCCGCGUGCGGGAUGACGGCCUUCGGGUUGUAAACCGCUUUCGCCUGUGACGAAGCGUGAGUGACGGUAAUGGGUAAAGAAGCACCGGCUAACUACGUGCCAGCAGCCGCGGUGAUACGUAGGGUGCGAGCGUUGUCCGGAUUUAUUGGGCGUAAAGGGCUCGUAGGUGGUUGAUCGCGUCGGAAGUGUAAUCUUGGGGCUUAACCCUGAGCGUGCUUUCGAUACGGGUUGACUUGAGGAAGGUAGGGGAGAAUGGAAUUCCUGGUGGAGCGGUGGAAUGCGCAGAUAUCAGGAGGAACACCAGUGGCGAAGGCGGUUCUCUGGGCCUUUCCUGACGCUGAGGAGCGAAAGCGUGGGGAGCGAACAGGCUUAGAUACCCUGGUAGUCCACGCUGUAAACGGUGGGUACUAGGUGUGGGGUCCAUUCCACGGGUUCCGUGCCGUAGCUAACGCUUUAAGUACCCCGCCUGGGGAGUACGGCCGCAAGGCUAAAACUCAAAGGAAUUGACGGGGCCCCGCACAAGCGGCGGAGCAUGCGGAUUAAUUCGAUGCAACGCGUAGAACCUUACCUGGGUUUGACAUGGAUCGGGAGUGCUCAGAGAUGGGUGUGCCUCUUUUGGGGUCGGUUCACAGGUGGUGCAUGCCUGUCGUCAGCUCGUGUCGUGAGAUGUUGGGUUAAGUCCCGCAACGAGCGCAACCCUUGUUCACUGUUGCCAGCACGUUAUGGUGGGGACUCAGUGGAGACCGCCGGGGUCAACUCGGAGGAAGGUGGGGAUGACGUCAAGUCCUCAUGCCCCUUAUGUCCAGGGCUUCACGCAUGCUACAAUGGCUGGUACAGAGAGUGGCGAGCCUGUGAGGGUGAGCGAAUCUCGGAAAGCCGGUCUCAGUUCGGAUUGGGGUCUGCAACUCGACCUCAUGAAGUCGGAGUCGCUAGUAAUCGCAGAUCAGCAACGCUGCGGUGAAUACGUUCCCGGGGC